GAUGAACGCUGACAGAAUGCUUAACACAUGCAAGUCAACUUGAAUUUGGGUUUUUAACUUAGGUUUGGGUGGCGGACGGGUGAGUAACGCGUAAAGAACUUGCCUCACAGCUAGGGACAACAUUUGGAAACGAAUGCUAAUACCUAAUAUUAUGAUAAUAGGGCAUCCUAUAAUUAUGAAAGCUAUAAGCGCUGUGAGAGAGCUUUGCGUCCCAUUAGCUAGUUGGAGAGGUAACGGCUCACCAAGGCGAUGAUGGGUAGCCGGCCUGAGAGGGUGAUCGGCCACAAGGGGACUGAGACACGGCCCUUACUCCUACGGGAGGCAGCAGUGGGGAAUAUUGGACAAUGGACCGAGAGUCUGAUCCAGCAAUUCUGUGUGCACGAUGAAGUUUUUCGGAAUGUAAAGUGCUUUCAGUUGGGAAGAAAAAAAUGACGGUACCAACAGAAGAAGUGACGGCUAAAUACGUGCCAGCAGCCGCGGUAAUACGUAUGUCACGAGCGUUAUCCGGAUUUAUUGGGCGUAAGGCGCGUCUAGGUGGUUAUAUAAGUCUGAUGUGAAAAUGCAGGGCUCAACUCUGUAUUGCGUUGGAAACUGUAUAACUAGAGUACUGGAGAGGUAAGCGGAACUACAAGUGUAGAGGUGAAAUUCGUAGAUAUUUGUAGGAAUGCCGAUGGGGAAGCCAGCUUACUGGACAGAUACUGACGCUGAAGCGCGAAAGCGUGGGUAGCAAACAGG
rnacentral:rRNA from 1 species